UUCUCAUAACCCUAAAAAACGAGUCCCGUUUCUCAAAAAACUGGUCAUUCUGAGACCGUAUCUCAACUACACGAAUCACCUUCUUCCACCUUAAACAUAAUCUCGUCACUCUGAAAGCCCUAAUUUGGCGAACAUCAAAAGGUAUAGCCCUAAUUUACCGUUUCUCUCUGAUUAAUCGAGAGGUUUUUGUUUUCUUUACUCUCCAAAGGGUUAUAGCAGGGUUUCUUUCAGAUGAUACAAUUUGAACAGGAGUGAAGCGGAUUAUUUGAAAGUGCACUUUGCCGAAAGCGGGAUUGAGAU